rnacentral:rRNA from 1 species
UUUUCCCAAGUUUGGAAGGCCCGUAUUCCCCCUAAGAUUAAAAUUUUCUUGUGGCAAGCCUUUCGAGGCCGGUUGCCCUCGGCUGAUCAGAUUCGUAAGAGAAACGGGCCGGACUCCCAGUUUUGUGCUCUUUGCAGUGAUGUGGAAGACUCGGAUCAUAUCUUUUUUCACUGUCACCUGGCUAAGCUUAUUUGGAGUUGUGUGCGGGACUGA